rnacentral:rRNA from 1 species
GAUGAACGCUAGCGAUAGGCCUAACACAUGCAAGUCGAGGGGCAUCACAUGAAGUAGCAAUACGGAUGGUGGCGACCGGCGCACGGGUGAGUAACACGUAUGCAACCUGCCUUCAACAAGGGGAUAACCCGUUGAAAGACGGACUAAUACCCUAUAACACAGGGGUCCCGCAUGGGGAUAUUUGUUAAAGGACAACCGGUUGAAGAUGGGCAUGCGUUCCAUUAGCUAGUUGGCGGGGUAAGGGCCCACCAAGGCAACGAUGGAUAGGGGAACUGAGAGGUUUAUCCCCCACACUGGUACUGAGACACGGACCAGACUCCUACGGGAGGCAGCAGUGAGGAAUAUUGGUCAAUGGACGCAAGUCUGAACCAGCCACGUCGCGUGAAGGAAG